UCACUUGUUUUUUAAUGCUGGCCGGUGCACGCAGAUUAAAACAUUUAACCUUCGAUUAUAUAUAAGUGUGAAUCAAGAGAGUGUUGUAUUUGAAUUUGACUUGAAGACUGGAUUCUACAAAGUAUAUGAAUUCCCUGGGCUGCACCUGAUGUGUAAUUCCCUUCUGGCCAGCAGCACGCACCAGGGGUAGAGUGAUUGCAGAGGCGGAUCUAGACAUUAGAAAAGGGUGGUUCCUAAAAGCAAAAGGAUAACGACCCCAAAGGGCGAGUAUUAAGCCGCGCGCAGCGCGAAAAAAUUGACCACGCUCAUUUCCGUUGUAAACCCGCCCAUUUCCGGUGUCGUUUCCUGUCACCUGAGUGCUAGGCCAAGGGCUAGGGAGGUCUAUUAUAGUACCUUAGUAGAUGUAAGAUUAUGUCUAGCUAUAGCUAUGGCUCCAGUGCAGUGAUAGUAAGAUCAAGAAGUUAGACAAAAGCUGGUUGCAUCGGUCACGAUUGAUAUUCAUUAAAGCAAGUGAACCCAAUCUCGAUUUCCGACAUGGUAGCACGUCGGGCUGUCUUAAUAAGUUUUUAGUUGGCUGAAACUCCUCUCGCUCUCACAAGAUGUAAUAGGAAGUGUCAGAGCCAAUGUCAACAGAAGAUUCACAUUUGGAUAUGUCAUCACAUGGCACUCUCUCAAGGCAGCUCCUUAUUUAUAUGAUUUGGAUUUUUAUUUAUUGUGAAACUGUACUUGCUUUACUCUUUUUGAAGAAUGUUGAAAUUGGCACUUGACUUGGUCUCUUCCUGUUACUCAUUGUUGUAUAAUAAGUAAGUCUGGUUGAACAUAAUUACCACAAUCAAAGCUGCAUGACCACUGGACACAUGGAUGUGGCCCAUCUUGUAUCCAAUUAAUUACUGCUUACUAUGCAGUUUUUGCAACGCGAUCAGUUGAAAAAGAGUAAAGAACCUGCCACUGCUUUUAGCUAAGUUCUGUUCCUUCUAGAGUGGACUACAUGCAGGUAUUGACAUUACUACAUAAGUAGAAUAAGUAAAACAUGACUGUAAAUGACUGUAGAUUGCUAAAAAUCAAUUUUAAUAUUUUGAGCAAAAGGGGGGUUCCUUUGCUCCCUUAGAUCUCCCCCUGGAUCCGCCUCUGGUAGUGACUUAGGCCGGAGGGCCGCAGGCCUCGAGGGCAAGUGCACUACUGAGCCAACUAGUGUUCAAGCUGGCGCUGUGCUAAUGCCUCUCGCCAUGUUUUUGCUUUCGCUUAAAAGUAUUAGAGUGUUAUAUUAGUAUUAAAGUUAGCUUAUCUAUAUAAAGUCACUGAGAAGAAAAGACUUAUUUACAUGCGUCUAUUGUUGUAUUAUGUGGCUUACCAGGAUCUUAAGAAAGAAGAAAAUUGAUUCUUCCAGGAUCUGUAGUUCAGUGUAUAUAAUAUCUAAGAAGAAAAGACCUGUGUACAUGCAUAUUUUUAUCUAUAUUGUUGUUUUGUGGCUUAUAUACCAGGCCCUCAAGACAAAGAUGAUUCUGCCAGGAGGAUCUUGGGAUAUUAUUUUCUCACACGUGGGGAAUGAGCGCGCAUGCGCAUUACAUCCACAGGAAAAUUAAAGGGUGUGUCCAAAGAGAUCAAUUUCACAAAUGGCUAUACUGCUAGCUAGCUAGCUGUUUUAACAGAUAUUUUCUGAGUAUUGUAGCUAACAAAAAGCUAGCGCUUUAGUGCAAGGCUAACUCAUAUGUUGAAUAGAAAGUUUGUGCGGACAGAUGAUGCUAUGAAAGAUUCUGAAGAGACUGCAACAGCCUUCAAUACAGACACACACACAGUCAGCUUUACCGUAUCCCUCGUGCGGCUACGCCUCGAGGCAUAAAAAUUAUAUCCAAUGUGCGCACAAGUGAGCUGUGUAACAACUGCAUUCCUUGCGCAUUCCUUGCGCAUUCCUUUCCGUGUACACGUUACUCCUUUUAUAGGACAACUAGUUUCAACUAGAUCUACUUGUGGUGGCUGUGGAAUCAUACUAUCUAUGGUGGAAUGCACCAGACGCAUGAAAAACGUUUUCUGCUUACCACUGAAUCUGUUUAAUUAACUUCAGCCAUACUAUGCCAGUAUCUAGAUAGUGGCACAGUUCAAGGCUUGACCUGUGCCAUUUGGCAGAUGCCAGUAUCUAGAUAGUGGCACAGUUCAAGGCUUGACCUGUGCCAUAUGGCGGAUGCCAGUAUCUAGAUAGUAGUGGCACAGUUCAAGGCUUGACCUGCAUGUGCCAUAUGGCAGAUGCCAGUAUCUAGAUAGUGGCACAGUUCAAGGCUUGACCUGUGCCAUAUGGCAGAUAUUGGCACAGUGUUUCCUUUGAUCUGCCCACUCAAAAUGCAACAAUACUUGAUACAUGCAUUCUUUGAUACAUUUUGUAUUAUUAUUACCAUUUUAUUGGUGAAGGUCACUGGCAGUUCUUGUUAGCAACAUACCAGGUUCACCAAUUUACUAGUUCACAUUCACCAUUGUGGUUUGUACAUUUGCUCGUAGCUGUACAUUUGCUCGUAGCUGUACAUAAUUUUAAGAUUCUAAUCUAAUAAUAAUUUAAUACCCCUAGCCUAGCCCUGUACUGUACACCUGUACAUGCAUGUCUAUCUAGUCUAUAAUUAUUUUAUGUAUAAUAAUUAUUA